UACGGCGGGGGCUAGCGUUGUUCGGACUUAAUGGGCGUAACGCGCACGUAGGCGGCUUUGUAAGUUAGAGGUGAAAGCCCGGAGCUCAACUUCGGAAUUGCCUUUAAGACUGCAUCGCUUGAAUCAUGGAGAGGUCAGUGGAAUUCCGAGUGUAGAGGUGAAAUUCGUAGAUAUUCGGAAGAACACCAGUGGCGAAGGCGACUGACUGGACAUGUAUUGACGCUGAGGUGCGAAAGCGUGGGGAGCAAACAGG
rnacentral:rRNA from 1 species